UUCCAUUUACUGUUAUUUUUCUGUGAUCUGGAAAGUUCUUCAUCUUCUUCUUUAAUGCUUCCAACUGCAGGGACGCAAGAGUUGUAAUCAUUUUGUUUGGUGUGAUGAAGAAAUUAAUUCAAGAGAAAAGGAUUUAAUCUCUUCCUUACAUCAAAAGUUAAAUUAAGAAAAGUUAAAGGUGAAUGAAGCCAACGUCAAAGAGAAGGAAUUGAAGACGAAGAUCAAGUUUUUGAAGAUGAAGUUCGACUUUUUUUGGCUAUGAC
rnacentral:lncRNA from 1 species